GACAGAGGGUGCAAACGUUGUUCGGAAUUACUGGGCGUAAAGCGCGUGUAGGCGGCCCGGAAAGUCGGAUGUGAAAGCCCUGGGCUUAACCUAGGAAGUGGCAUUCGAAACUGCUGGGCUUGAGUUCUGGAGAGGAAGGCGGAAUUCUCGGUGUAGAGGUGAAAUUCGUAGAUAUCGGGAGGAACACCAGUGGCGAAGGCGGCGACCUGGGCCAAUACUGACGCUGAGGUGCGAAAGCGUGGGGAGCAAACAGG
rnacentral:rRNA from 1 species